GGUGGCAAGAAGUUGGUAGAGCAUGAGGCUCUUAAUCUCAAGGUUGUGAGUUCAAGCCCCACGUUGGACA